rnacentral:rRNA from 1 species
CGCCUCUUGCCACAAUAUAAGAGGUCCAGCCUGCCCAGUGACUCUGUUCAACGGCCGCGGUAUCCUAACCGUGCGAAGGUAGCGUAAUCACUUGUUCUUUAAAUGUGGACUAGUAUGAAUGGCAUCACGAAGGUUAUACUGUCUCCUUUUUUUAAUCAAUGAAACUAAUCUUCCCGUGAAGAAGCGGGAAUAGAAAUAUAAGACGAGAAGACCCUAUGGAGCUUUAAACAACACAGCAUUUGUCUAAAAAUUAAUCUAUUUCAGAAAACCAACUCUUCAAACAAUAUGACUGCAAGUUUUCGGUUGGGGUGACCACGGAGCAUAAUGUAACCUCCAUGUUGAAAGAAUUUUUUCUAAAUUAAGAAUUACCAAUCAAAAUAUCAACAUAUUGACAUCCAUUGACCCAAUAUACUUGACCAACGAUCCAAGUUACCCUAGGGAUAACAGCGCAAUCCACUUCAAAAGCUCCUAUCGACAAGUGGGUUUACGACCUCGAUGUUGGAUCAGGGUAUCCCAGUGGUGCAGCCGCUACUAAAGGU